rnacentral:rRNA from 1 species
UACAGAGGGCGCGAGCGUUGUCCGGAAUCACUGGGCGUAAAGGGCGCGUAGGUGGCCACUAUAAGGCCGCGGUGAAAGUUCGGGGCUCAACCCUGAAUCUGCCGCGGCGACUGUAGGGCUAGGGCACCGUAGAGGCAGAUGGAAUUCCGGGUGUAGCGGUGGAAUGCGUAGAGAUCCGGAAGAACACCGGUGGCGAAGGCGGCGAUCUGGGUAGAUACUGACGCUGAGGUGCGAAAGCGUGGGGAGCAAACAGG